rnacentral:rRNA from 1 species
UACGGAGGAGGCAAGCGUUAUCCGGAAUUAUUGGGCGUAAAGCGUCCGCAGGUGGCACUUCAAGUCUGUCGUCAAAGACUGGGGCUUAACUUCGGAAAGGCAGUGGAAACUGAACAGCUAGAGUAUGGUAGGGGCAGAGGGAAUUCCUGGUGUAGCGGUGAAAUGCGUAGAUAUCAGGAAGAACAUCGGUGGCGAAGGCGCUCUGCUGGACCAUAACUGACACUCAGGGACGAAAGCUAGGGGAGCGAAUGGG